rnacentral:rRNA from 1 species
UACGUAGGGGGCAAGCGUUGUCCGGAAUCAUCGGGCGUAAAGCGCGUGUAGGCGGCUCGGUAAGUCCGCUCUGAAAGUCCAGGGCUCAACCCUGGGAUGCGGGUGGAUACUGCCGGGCUCGAGUCCGGAAGAGGCGAGUGGAAUUCCCGGUGUAGCGGUGAAAUGCGCAGAUAUCGGGAGGAACACCAAUGGCGAAGGCAGCUCGCUGGGACGUGACUGACGCUGAGACGCGAAAGCGUGGGGAGCGAACAGG